rnacentral:rRNA from 1 species
CCUACGGGCGGCAGCAGUGAGGAAUAUUGGUCAAUGGGCGUAAGCCUGAACCAGCCAAGUCGCGUGAGGGAUGAAGGUUCUAUGGAUCGUAAACUUCUUUUAUAUGGGAAUAAAUUAUGGUACGUGUACUAUUUUGUAUGUACCAUAUGAAUAAGGAUCGGCUAACUCCGUGCCAGCAGCCGCGGUAAUACGGAGGAUCCGAGCGUUAUCCGGAUUUAUUGGGUUUAAAGGGUGCGUAGGCGGAUUGUUAAGUCAGCGGUGAAAGUCUGUGGCUCAACCGUAGAAUUGCAGUUGAAACUGGGGGGCUUGAGUACGGUAGAGGCAGGCGGAAUGCGUGGUGUAGCGGUGAAAUGCUUAGAUAUCACGAAGAACCCCGAUUGCGAAGGCAGCUUACUGGGC